rnacentral:rRNA from 1 species
CCUACGGGAGGCAGCAGUGAGGAAUAUUGGUCAAUGGCCGGAACGCUGAACCAGCGAAGCCGCGUGAAGGACGAAGGUGCCAAGCAUUGUAAACUUCUUUUGUAAAGGGACAAAAUCAGGCUCGAGAGCCUGACCGCGGGUACUUGCAGCAAAAGCAUCGGCUAACUACGUGCCAGCAGCCGAGGUAUUACGGAGGAUGCGAGCGUUAUCCGGAUUUUUGGGGUGUAAAGGGUGCGUAGGCGGACUGUUAAGUCAGCGGUAAAAGCCCGGGGCUCAACCCCGGCGAGCCGUUGAAACUGGCUGGCUUGAGAUGGCGAGAGGUAUGCGGAAUGCGCAGUGUAGCGGUGAAAUGCUUAGAUA